CACAGCCCAGAAACCCUGCAGAGCCCUUCUGCUCUGUCCUGCAGGGUCGGCAUGAGUCAGUGGGUUCUGACUGGGUUCACGGAGCUGCAUGAAGGCGUGGCUCCCCCUCCGGGGCUCCGCGGGACACUGGACCUCCAGGUUAUUCGAGUGCGGAUGGAGCAGCCUAUUCAAAUGCGGAUGGAACAGCCACCAGCCACUGCUGUCAGCUUCCUGCGGGACUGGCCUGCAGUCCUAGCAGAAUCUAGCACCCUGGAACGUGGGGAGCCCAAGGCCAAGGGUGGGGUGUAGGUGCUGCUGUGCUGGGAGAGAGAGAGACGGUGGCAUCCUCUUUGGAUUCAAACUUGGAGCUGCCCUGCUUGACUGCCUGGUGCAGAGCGAAAGGUGCCUGGGCAGGGGUUGCUGGUGCAGCCAGAGCUGGGCGUUGGGUGUGUUGAGCACACCCACACAAUCCUUUUGUGUACCCAGACCUCCCUCUGUCCCAGUCACACCCUCUGCCCCUGUAGACCCCCACCAGAAAUUCUCCCUUGGCACAGUGCCUUACAGAAGAGGUGGUCUCGGGGUUUGAACUGAAUUCUACUACCUCGAAGGACGCCUCUCUCCCCUCUCCGGUGGGCUCCAUUACCUCUUCCCACUUCAUCCCAGCAGGAAGUGAAACCGCCCCCUGGGCUCCCCCUCACUCCCCUCCUGGACUCCCUCUCACUCCCCUCCUGGGCUCCCCCUCACUCCACUGUAUAUAUCUUAUUUGUUGACAAUAAAUUAUUUUUUUUUUAUUAA